rnacentral:rRNA from 1 species
UCCCCUAGUAACGGCGAGUGAAGAGGGAAGAGCUCAAAUUUGAAAUCUGGCGGUCUACGGCCGUCCGAGUUGUAAUCUAGAGAGGUGUUUUCCGUGCCGGACCGUGUACAAGUCCCUUGGAACAGGGCGUCAUAGAGGGUGAGAAUCCCGUCCAUGACACGGACUCCCGGUGCUCUGUGAUACACCUUCAAAGAGUCGAGUUGUUUGGGAAUGCAGCUCAAAACGGGUGGUAAAUUCCAUCUAAAGCUAAAUACAGGCGAGAGACCGAUAGCGAACAAGUACCGUGAGGGAAAGAUGAAAAGAACUUUGGAAAGAGAGUUAAACAGUACGUGAAAUUGUUGAAAGGGAAACGCUUGAAGUCAGUCGCGUUUGCCAGGACUCAGCCUUGCUUUUGCUUGGUGCACUUCCUGGUGGAUGGGCCAGCAUCGAUUUUGGUCGCCGGAAAAGGGCGGGAGGAAUGUGGCAGCUUGCUGUGUUAUAGCCUCCCGUCGUACACGGUGGUUGGGAUCGAGGACUGCAGCACGCCUUUUGGUCGGGGUUCGCCCACGCCACGUGCUUAGGAUGCUGGCGUAAUGGCUUUAAACGACCCGUCUUGAAACACGGACCAAGGAGUCUAACAUGCCUGCGAGUGUUUGGGUGUCAAACCCAGGCGCGUAAUGAAAGUGAAAAGUUGGGACUCUUUAGUGAGGCACCGACGCCCGAUCCUGACGUUUUCUGACGGAUUUGAGGCAGAGCAUGUAUGUUGGGACCCGAAAGAUGGUGAACUAUGCCUGAAUAGGGUGAAGCCAGAGGAAACUCUGGUGGAGGCUCGUAGCGAUUCUGACGUGCAAAUCGAUCGUCAAAUUUGGGUAUAGGGGCGAAAGA